AAAUUCAAGCUUUUAUUUUGGCAGUAUUACAGUUAGCGGAAGUAAAUCCAACUUCUCCGUUUGCCAAACGUUAAAUUUGCUGAGUUUAAAGUAAUUUUCUUCUUCUGGUUGACAUCAGACACAAGAAAACCGUCUGCUUCUUCUGGACUCCAUUUCCCAGAACCACCUGGGACCAGGUGACAGGAAAACUUCUAACACUUGGCAGUGGCGUCGGCCAUUUUUUAAGGUCAGAGGUUCUUCUGGAAAACUUCGGAGUCCGGCGGCGUUUGGGAGGUUAUUUUGGAGCGGGAGUUUCUCUGUGUGUCAUCAGAUGCGGCACAAACCCAUUUAGUUGCUGCUCUGACUUGGUAUAAAUAGCCUGAAGAGCAACAGGGGGAUUCGCCCUCUAUUAUAAGAGUCUAAAUAUCAGCAGCUAUUAGCCGCCUGUCUCCCUGCGGCUUCUCAAAUCAUCCAGAACCGGAUCACUCAGCUGCCAGUCGGCCUCCGGCUGCAGCGCUCAACAUAAAAAUACUGUCUACACAUUCAGUUAAAUAAAAAAACAAAAUACUUUAUAAUAACUGAAGUUGAACGCAGGAAGCUUUGAGCCGCAGGUAUCGAAACCCGCCCACCGGCACUGAAACGCGCCAAUUAGCACGUUGUGUCUCGUUUGUGCGACCUCUGCGAAUCGUGAACGCCGACGUUUUCAUGUCAGGACGCAGAUUUCCUGUGAGCUGUUGCUUGGAAACAGGAAGCAGAGCUCUGGUUUGGAAAAGACCCCCGCGGAGCCCUGACCUUUGACCUCUGACUUCACUCUCAUUUUGUAAUUGCUUGUAAAAGCGGCACAAACGGAACAUCUCACAGACUCUGACGGCCUUUUAGGAACCUCACAUGCUGCUGGAGACGAGAUCGACCAGCAGAUGCAUUUAUCUCUAAAUAUUUAUUCAUAAUUAUGAAUUUCUUCCAUUUAGAGAGGAUAAAUCACAGCCAGGCAACAAAACUGGUCAGAAACUAGAGUGAUGUUCAACAACGGAGUGUAAAAGGGACAUGAUGGGAAAAAAUGAAAAAUAAAAAUAUUAUUACCAGAAUAAAGUCAUAAUAUUAAGAGAAAAUGUUUUAAAUUUUUUAAUGGUAUGAGAAAAACAUUUCAAUAUAACGAGAUUAAAGUAUUAUUUGAAGAUCCCGCGACAUUAAAACAUUACAAUAUUUCUUGUUGGCGUUACUGUUAGCUAGUUGCUACUAGCAUGGCUUCAUCUGAUGAAAUUCUGAUAGAAAACAUAAAUCCAUUUUUUACUUUUUGGACUUCCAGCAGGAACAAUAAAUGGCUACAAAAUGAAAGACAAAACAAACAAUAAGCAACACAAGUUGCUCAGAAAGAGGCAGGAAGCAUCACCAUAGCAACCAGUAGCUGGACAUCUAAGGGUUGUUGAGCGACAUCAUACUGAAGCCGAUCAAUAGCAGCUGGGAAACGAUCAGUGCUGCACUGCAGACUAUGAUUAGUUGAAGAGCGUGUCUUAAAAUGAAAGCAGAAAAAAAAACAUCAGUUGGAGUUUGUGGCAAGAAUCUAUAAAAAUGCAGAAUAUAAGCCUUUUUGGAGCCCAAAUUUGAUCUUUGACGUCGUAAAAUCUCAUUUGGUUUCAUUCUGAUGAACUUCACAUCAUAACUCAUCUCAUGAAUAUAGUGUUUAGUGUUGCACACUAAAAACAACUUUCCUUUAUUUAUAAAAAGCCUAAUUUUAAAGAGUGAUCAACAGAUUCCUGCUGCUGCUUCUUCCCAAGCAGGACCAACAUCGUCUUUCUCCUCACAGUUGAUGUUUUAUAAUGUGAGUUUUUGCAUCAUAGAGCAAUGAUGUUUUCUUUCACACCUUUACAUCAUUCUGCUGAUGCAUCCAAACAAGAAAUCACAUAAUCAGAGGAGAAAAGACGCUACGUCGUCUCCAGAGCUGAGAAAUCAGGAUGCAGCACUUCUGUCUGAUUUAUACACACACUGCAAAAACACCAAAACUUACCAAGUAUUUUUGGUCUAG